rnacentral:misc_RNA from 1 species
AUGAAACUGUAGCUCCUGAAGCCAAACGCCCCAAAACAGACAAGAAAUACAGUAUAACAAUCACCUUAAUGAAGAGCCUUUUGUCAUGCCCGGUCGCAGCAACCCUUAGCACGGACUCAGCUGCCCCAACCGUAUUAGCCAAGCAUGCAGCAAUGCCAUUGGCUGUGUCCUGCGAUAUCUGCCAUUCUAGAGGAUCCACGGGUACCGAGAUGUUGAGCUGGCGGAAGAGCAUGCCGAGGAUGGCGAGGGAACAGAGGAGGACGAUGAGGACGUCGGCGGCGAGGGAGAGAAGGCUCGAAUCCCGGUAGGCGCAGUGGUAGUAUACCAGGCUACCGCACACCAGCACCACCGCUGGCCGGCCAACCUCCACCGUCCUCGCCGGCGCCUCGG